UGGGGAAUAUUGCACAAUGGGCGCAAGCCUGAUGCAGCCAUGCCGCGUGUAUGAAGAAGGCCUUCGGGUUGUAAAGUACUUUCAGCGGGGAGGAAGGCGAUAAGGUUAAUAACCUUGUCGAUUGACGUUACCCGCAGAAGAAGCACCGGCUAACUCCGUGCCAGCAGCCGCGGUAAUACGGAGGGUGCAAGCGUUAAUCGGAAUUACUGGGCGUAAAGCGCACGCAGGCGGUCUGUCAAGUCGGAUGUGAAAUCCCCGGGCUCAACCUGGGAACUGCAUUCGAAACUGGCAGGCUAGAGUCUUGUAGAGGGGGGUAGAAUUCCAGGUGUAGCGGUGAAAUGCGUAGAGAUCUGGAGGAAUACCGGUGGCGAAGGCGGCCCCCUGGGCAAAGACUGACGCUCAGGUGCGAAAGCGUGGGGAGCAAACA
rnacentral:rRNA from 1 species